UUUUUCAAUCUCUUACCUUGACGGAGAUGCUAUUUUUCUCCGUAUCGUAUCUCCGUCACCACUGCGGCCUAACAUCGUGGAGUGGCGCAGUCUUUCCUGGGAACAACCCGGCAUUUAACUAUCGUGGAGCUUGCGAUCCCUUUGCCGGGGAUCGACUGUGAAGAGCUCCAACCGCGGGCCUGUGAACUUUAACAUGGUGGAGCCCGCGUUCCCUGGUUAGAACCUGGUUUGGGAGCUCCAAGCCACGAUGCUGCCAGACCUUCUGAGCAAUUUGAGAAAUGUCCAGUUUUGGUCUAUGCUGCCUGCAAGAUUGUGAAGUCAGUUGGCACAGCAUUAUCAAGGAAUCAAGACAUAAAGCUUUCAACGCCUCUGUUUCCUUGAUAAAUCACUCAAGCACAAAGCAUAACAGUGCACAUUUUUAAAUACAUUUUUUAAAUGCAUAUACAACAAAUAUGGAGCUGAGGUUCUGUUGUUUACCAGAAAAAAAAUAAACCACUUGACAAUUA